UGCGGGUACACCUCGGGUGAGGUACGGUGUCUCAUAAGCACUGCUGGUCGGCUCGACUCCGACAUCCGCAACCA
rnacentral:tRNA from 1 species